GUAGAGUUUGGUUGUAGCUGGCUCCUAAUUAAACUUGGGGGCAUGUGCACACCUUUCUCUUUCAUCCCAUACACACCUGUGCACCUGUGAGACAGAUGUUUUGUGGGGGGGAAGGAACUUUAUUGGACCUUCUACUCCCCCUUGACUUCUGUCUACUUAAUUCAUAUAAACUCAAUUUAUUUUAAAACGGAUGUAAUGGAUGUAACACAUCUAAUACUAAGUUUCAACAACGGAUCUCUUGGCUCUCGCAUCGAUGAAGAACGCAGCGAAAUGCGAUAAGUAAUGUGAAUUGCAGAAUUCAGUGAAUCAUCGAAUCUUUGAACGCACCUUGCGCUCCUUGGUAUUCCUUGGAGCAUGCCUGUUUGAGUAUCAUGAAAUCUUCAAAGUCAAACCUUUUGUUAAUUCAAUUGGUUCUGCUUUGGUAUUGGAGGAUUAUUGCAGCUUCACACCUGCUCCUCUUUGUGCAUUAGCUGGAUCUCAGUGUUAUGCUUGGUUCCACUCAGCGUGAUAAGUUAUCUAUCGCUGAGGACACCCUGUUAAAAAGGGGUGGCCAAGGUAAAUGCAGAUGAACCGCUUCUAAUAGUCCAUUGACUUGGACAAUAUCUAAUUUAUGAUCUGAUCUCAAAUCAGGUAGGACUACCCGCUGAACUUAAGCAUAUCAAUAAGCGGAGGAA
rnacentral:rRNA from 1 species